rnacentral:tRNA from 1 species
GCCGAGGUGGUGGAAUGGUUUACACGUGCGACUCAAAAUCGCAUGGGCGCAAGUCCGUGAGGGUUCGAGUCCCUCCCUCGGCA